rnacentral:rRNA from 1 species
GACGAACGCUGGCGGCGUGCUUAACACAUGCAAGUCGAACGGAAAGGCCCUGCUUUUGUGGGGUGCUCGAGUGGCGAACGGGUGAGUAACACGUGAGUAACCUGCCCUUGACUUUGGGAUAACUUCAGGAAACUGGGGCUAAUACCGGAUAGGAGCUCCUGCUGCAUGGUGGGGGUUGGAAAGUUUCGGUGGUUGGGGAUGGACUCGCGGCUUAUCAGCUUGUUGGUGGGGUAGUGGCUUACCAAGGCUUUGACGGGUAGCCGGCCUGAGAGGGUGACCGGCCAAAUUGGGACGGGGAUACGGCCCGGACUCGUACGGGAGGCAGGGGUGGGGAAGAUUGCACAAGGGGCGGAAGCAUGAUGCAGCAACGCAGCGUGCGGGAUGACGGCCUUCGGGUUGUAAACCGAUGUCGCCUGUGACGAAGCGUGAGUGACGGUAAUGGGUAAAGAAGCACCGGCUAACUACGUG